GAGCUAGCGUGAUCUUUUCAUUAAAUAUGCGUACAAAUUAGCACGAUCACUGCUGCUUGGACUACUUUGAUAAUUAACCAAAAAUGUGCUACUCGUUAUAGGCGAAGGGCUAAAAAUAGAUGCUAAAUAUCUCCGUUUUAGGAUUUUCUCCAGCAAAGCUAUUUUAAAGUUCUUUCCUAGUAUUACCUAGCUCAUGGUAACGCAUUUAUCCAUUUGCACAUUAAUCUUUAUAGUGAAUUUUGCACAACAGUUGUAGAACCCCGUUGAUUUAAGACACAUCAAAAGAUAUUUGUUUACAGCUGGCGGCAGGGAUAGAAAAGCAAAAUACAAAAUACUUUUGCUAUGCAGAGAAUGUAAGGUUGAGCAAAACUUGGUAGGAGUUUGUGCAUGUGUACGUCAAGACCCACACGCACGCCAUUAGUUGGCGCCUAGAUUGCAAGGCGCAAUUGACCAUUUUAAAAUAAAACCAGACUGGUGGGCUUGUGACAGUCCAAUAGCUGACCUAGCAAAGUGGAGGAAAAGGAAAGAAAGCUAUUAGGCGACGUGCGCGUCAGACACUCUUUAUUGCAUGCCAAAUGGAUGUCUAGCAAUUGUCGCGUUAAAUAUUCUAAAUAAACCUUUCUAUUGGACUCAUAUGAACACUUAUAGUCAGCAGGACGAGAUAUCAAUUUUAAUGAGUCAUCCCCGUGAUAACAAUUAUACGCCGUCUAUUUACGCAUCUACCAUACAUAUUUCAACUGGAACCAUCUGUGUCCACUUCCGUUUCAUUGCAACCGCCAAAUCCAUACCAUCCCAGUAAUCCAAGACAUGGACAUGCGCAUUGCAAUGGCGCCAUUAAGUCCGCACUUCUACGCAAUAUGCCCUGCUGGACCAGCUCAGAAUCCCACUCCCACUUGUCUGGAUGCCCUCGCCAAAUGUGGCACAUUAAGAGGUGAAUCUUUAUGUACUUUUCAACAUAUACACAACUGUGCCGCGAGGCAUUAAUGUAAUAUCUUUAUGUACGAGAUUUAUUGAUUAACUAAAACACUUUUAAGUUAUGUACACAAUUGUACAAAUACAAGGAACGGAAAUGAAAUAGGUAGAAACAAUCAUUUUAUAAAAAAAACCGCAGGCAUCGUAGCUGACUAUCUGACCAUCUGAAGAUAUCAAAUCUCUUAAAUUGUUGCCCUUCAAUGAGCUUCGAGAAGUCAAAGAUUCCUUUUAUAAAACUGAAAGUAGCAGGAGCAGACGUUGACGCCGCCGGCUUCUAGUGUAUGGCAUCGCAGCCGCAACACCGAAAAUGGAUGCGAAAGAACGAUGUGUCCAACUACCAUAUGAAAAUAUGCAAUCUAACGAGUGUAAGAUUGAUCUCGGGCGAUAUUCUGAGAAUUCGAGAGCCGGUGCUCCAGUCUGACCACUGGUCCCUUACUUGGAGGAGCACACAUUUAAACAUUUAAACUGCCGGUAUACGAGUAUAUACAGUGAUCUUAUAAAGGAGAAACGAGCGGUCUACCCUCGUUUCGGCAAAAUACCCUGCAUCUACUUAUUCCGUGGAGCAACGAACAAGAAAUAAGAAAAAAGGGAAUCAAGGUAAUCGCGUCCUGAAACAAAGAAUAAAAUAAUUGAACAGCAAAUAUAUUAAAGUUGGUAAUGUAUAAAAAGCUUUCCUUCUUUUGCUCACUUUAAUCUGGAGGUGUCCUUGCAAAUCCGGAGUUCACAUAAAAGACAAACUAUUUUUGUUUUGCUAUGUAAUUGGAUUUGACAGAGCGAACUCGCAUUGAUAGGUCCGAUCAGUAAGUGCGAAUCCUUGGAUUAUUACAUGCACACCAUAAUAAAAACAAAAGACACCAACCUGAGCAAAAAACGCGGCUGAGAACCAUAUAAAUAUCCGCGGGCCAAUUUUUCGAUAACUUUGUUUUUGGCUUGCAAUUCGGCUUGAAAGGCAGCAGGAGCAAGCACUCAGUUUCGCUGGAUGCUCACGACGAAUGAGAAACGGGUUGCAUUCCGUUGACCAUUUCAAACAAUUGGCAGUGGCAGCUGCUGUGGCAAACCUUUGGGCACAGGAACACCAAGGGGACUAAGGAGAAACAGAGGACAAAACCUCAAUUGAGGUUUAAUUUAGAAUGUACCAGUGCUACCGCACUGCGGAGCCAUUGAUUGCACAGUGUUCUGUGUGACAUGCGAACACAUUCGGAAUAUUGAUAAGCCUACUCAUUUUGCGUCUGGCUGGCUAAUCGGUAAGGCCAAUGAGGAGAACGUCAUGUUGUAAAUUGGUGCGAAUGCAUUUGUUACCAUUUACUUUUCAGCUGAGUUGUGCCGGCUUGCCCAAAUUUGUGAUAUAUGAUUGAUCUGGUUUGCUCAGAAAUUUUUCAAUUUAACAAAAAUUUGUAAACCAUGGGCGUAUUUAUGAAGAUUGUCAGAAAGAAAAGGGGAUGCACCAAGGACGAAGGUAUCAGUCCAAACAAGUGAGCAAACGCCUCAAACUAAAGCUAUAUACAGCAUUUGCUGAUUUUGGAGAUAUACAAUGUGGGCAACGAAUAUCAUAAAAUUCGAUUAAAAUUACUGAGUGCAACCUUCUGACUGAAAUCAAUGUUCCCUCUGCCGGUUAUACUGAAUUCAAUUUUGAAUAAAGGACCAUAAAACUUU